CGUCCUGGAGAGUCCGGCAGGGGCCGGCGCCGACGGGGUAACACUCUCAGGUUCCGGGACAGGACG
rnacentral:ncRNA from 2 species